CAGUCGCCGCGGGAAUACGUAGGGUGCAAGCGUUAAUCGGAAUUACUGGGCGUAAAGCGUGCGCAGGCGGUUUGUUAAGACAGAUGUGAAAUCCCCGGGCUCAACCUGGGAACUGCAUUUGUGACUGGCAAGCUAGAGUGUGGCAGAGGGGGGUGGAAUUCCGCGUGUAGCAGUGAAAUGCGUAGAUAUGCGGAGGAACACCGAUGGCGAAGGCAGCCCCCUGGGCCAACACUGACGCUCAUGCACGAAAGCGUGGGGGGCAAACAGGAUUAGAUACCCCAGUAGUCCCUGUCUCUUAUAC
rnacentral:rRNA from 1 species